rnacentral:rRNA from 1 species
GCACAAGCGGUGGAUGAUGUGGUUUAAUUCGAUGCAACGCGAAAACCUUACCCACCUUUGACAUGGCAGGAAUCCCGAAGAGAUUUGGGAGUGCUCGAAAGAGAACCUGCACACAGGUGCUGCAUGGCUGUCGUCAGCUCGUGUCGUGAGAUGUUGGGUUAAGUCCCGCAACGAGCGCAACCCUUGCCAUUAGUUGCUACGAAAGGGCACUCUAAUGGGACUGCCGGUGACAAACCGGAGGAAGGUGGGGAUGACGUCAAGUCCUCAUGGCCCUUAUAGGUGGGGCUACACACGUCAUACAAUGGCCGGUACAGAGGGUAGCCAACCCGCGAGGGGGAGCCAAUCCCACAAAGCCGGUCGUAGUCCGGAUCGCAGUCUGCAACUCGACUGCGUGAAGUCGGAAUCGCUAGUAAUCGUGGAUCAGCAUGUCACGGUGAAUACGUUCCCGGGUCUU